rnacentral:rRNA from 1 species
CGCCUGUUUAACAAAAACAUGUCUUUUUGAUUAUAAUUUAAAGUCUAACCUGCCCAAUGAGGAGUUAAAUGGCCGCGGUAACCUGACCGUGCAAAGGUAGCAUAAUCAUUAGUUUUUUAAUUGAAAGCUGGUAUGAAUGGUUGGACGAGAGAGUAGCUGUCUCAAUUUAAUUUUAUUAGAACUUUAUUUUUAAGUAAGAAAGCUUAAAUGUGUUUAAAAGACGAGAAGACCCUAUAGAGUUUUAUAUUUAUUAUAUUGAAUAUUAUGUAGUAUAUAUUAAGUAGACAUUAUAGUGCGUAUUUUGUUGGGGCGACAGAAAAAUUGAGUGAACUUUUUUUAUUCUAUAUCAUUAAUUUAUGAGUAAGUGAUCCGUUAGUUAGAACGAUUAUAAGAUUAAAUUACCUUAGGGAUAACAGCGUAAUUUUCUUUGAGAGUUCUAAUCGAAAAGAGGGUUUGCGACCUCGAUGUUGGAUUAAAGUUAACUUUUGGUGUAGAAGCUAAAUGGUUAGGUCUGUUCGACCUUUAAAACUUUACAUGAUCUGAGUUCAAACCGGAG